CCCUUAGAUGUUCUGGGCUGCACGCGCGCUACACUGAAGCUAUCAACACGUUUUCCCUCCCUGAGAAGGGCGGGUAACCUUUUGAAUCAGCUCCGUGGUAGGGAUCGGGGCUUGCAAUUGUUCCCCGUGAACCAGGAAUUCCUAGUAGACGCGAGUCAUAAGCUCGCAUCGAUUAAGUCCCUGCCCUUUGUACACACCGCCCGUCGCUACUACCGAUUGAACGUUUUAGUGAGGCAUUUGGACCGACGCAUCUCAGUUUAACCGCUGGUUUGUGUUGGAAAGACUUCCAAACUUGAGCGUUUAGAGGAAGUAAAAGUCGUAACA
rnacentral:rRNA from 1 species